GACGAACGCUGGCGGCGUGCUUAACACAUGCAAGUCGAACGGAAAGGCCCUGCUUUUGUGGGGUGCUCGAGUGGCGAACGGGUGAGUAACACGUGAGUAACCUGCCCUUGACUUUGGGAUAACUUCAGGAAACUGGGGCUAAUACCGGAUAGGAGCUCCUGCUGCAUGGUGGGGGUUGGAAAGUUUCGGCGGUUGGGGAUGGACUCGCGGCGUAUCAGCUUGUUGGUGGGGUAGUGGCUUACCAAGGCUUUGACGGGUAGCCGGCCUGAGAGGGUGACCGGCCACAUUGGGACUGAGCUACGGCCCAGACUCCUACGGGAGGCAGCGGUGGGGAAUAUUGCACAGUGGGCGGAAGCCAGAUGCAGCAACGCCGCGUGCGGGAUGACGGCCUGCGGGUUGUAAACCGCUUUCGCCUGUGACGAAGCGUGAGUGACGGUAAUGGGUAAAGAAGCACCGGCUAACUACGUG
rnacentral:rRNA from 1 species